CCUACGGGAGGCAGCAGUGGGGAAUAUUGCGCAAUGGGCGAAAGCCUGACGCAGCGACGCCGCGUGAGGGAUGAAGGUCUUCGGAUCGUCAACCUCUGUCAGCAGGGAAGAACGGUCACUGUGCUAAUCAUCUGUGAAUUGACGGUACCUGCAAAGGAAGCACCGGCUAACUCCGUGCCAGCAGCCGCGGUAAUACGUAGGCGGCUAGCGUUAAUCGGAAUUACUGGGCGUAAAGCGCUCGUAGGCGGUAUGUCAAUUCAAGGGUGAAAUCCCCGCGCUAAACGUGGGAACUUCCUUUGAAACUGGCAAAAUGGAGUGUGUGAGAGGAGAGUGGAAUUCCAGGUGUAGGAGUGAAAUCCGUAGAUAUCAGGAGGAACAUCAGUGGCGAAGGCGACUAUCUGGCACAUAACUGACGCUGAGGAGCGAAAGCGUGGGUAGCAAACAGGAUUAGAUACCCUUGUAGUC
rnacentral:rRNA from 1 species